UCAAGUGGAGAUAAGCGGCGCAUAGGGUGCUAGUUAGGCACAGAGCAUCAGGGCGGCAAAUCCAGACCUUUCCUUUCAUUUUGUAUCACAAAGCCUGUGGGAAGACAUUAUCACAAAUGAACAGCCUAAAGCCAAUGCCACAGCUCAGCAUCCUCAGCUCUGUUCAGUGGAUGAAACACUACUGAGCAUCUGUCAAAUAAGAUGGCAACGUUUUCCUCCUCUCAGAAGCAGGAAAAGAAUGUAAAAUUAUCGCUAUGGGAAAAAAAAACUCACCUGCUACAGUCAUCAGCUCAGUUUAUUUGAAAGAAAUCCUAGCUUGUCAACUUUGCUUUCCUCAACAAAUGUCCCUGAAAGUAGCGGGAUUUAGAGAUUUCAAGAAAAUGUGGAAGUAACUCUGUUCAGCUCAGCUCUAUGGACAGAGGAUGGGGAAAGAAGAGGGUGGUAGUUCCAUAUCAAGGUCUGUUGCUCAACCUUGAAAAUAGAGACUCAUACUUAAUCACAGAUGAUUUUGAUGCUAUUGUUGGCAAAACAAUAGGAAACCACAUAGAACAUGCCUUUAUUUUCUAAAGACUAACCAGAAAGAAUGAUUUAGUUAAAAUUUUCAUGAUUGUCACCACAAUUCAUUUCUUAUCAAGAGCUACCCAUAUCUAGAAAAAGUGAAAAUCAAUAAAAAACAGUGA
rnacentral:lncRNA from 1 species